UUGAAGAAUCCUGGAAUAUGC
rnacentral:misc_RNA from 1 species